CGGCCGCAGUGUGUGCCCCGGGGGUGUGGGCCGGCCCGGCCGCUCCCCACACGCACACGGCCCCGGGGCAGCCCGGGGCCCAGGCACGGCCCGCCUCACCCGGGAGGGAGCCGAGAAUUGUUUGUAAAGACAUAAGCACACAUCUUUCUGAUUUCCUAUCACCAGCACACAGAGCCAUCGGCCCCUAAGGCUGGGAACAAUCCUCAUCUGAAAGGAGAGCUCUGCAACCUCCAGGAGAAACUGACAGCCUGCACAGAAAACAGAGGUGGUCUCCUACACUGAUGAAAACCACUAAAGCUUGACCAGCAAAGGCACAGGUAAUUGGAACAUUGAUUUUAAGAUAUCUCACCUGAAGACAUCCCACAGUUAAAACACAAAUACACAGCAUUUUCAAAAGGCUCCUGAAGGAUGCAGAGCCCAGCUCAUGCAUCUGAGUGGGAAAAAAAAAAAUAGAAAAAAGAUAAAUCACCACUAGCAGCAGUGCCAGAAAGUGCAAGAGAACCUGGGAGGCUCCAAGGCCUCCCCCCGACUCUGGCAGGCAGGAAAAAUGCAGAAGAUAGUGUCUGCCCAAAACCCCCAAUUCUUCUCUGUGUGUAAGAAAGCUGCAUUAUAUAUUUCCCAUGUUUAGGGUUGCACAAGCCUGAAUAGCUGUUAAAAUGUUUGGAAAGAAUGUGCCGGUGGUAGAAUUCAGCAGUAUCUGCUAGUGGUGAAUUUAGCUCCUGCUGAAAGGAACACGGGGAAAGAGGAAAUAAAAACCUGAAGCAAGAAAAGAAUCUCAAAAGGGUCACUGGAAAUGCUGGAACCAGACAAGCUGAGAGGCAUUGAGCCAAAAUAGGACCAGAAUUUCUGUUACUACACUGUUAUGCUGGUGUACUAUAUUGCUAUGUAGAAACUUUUUUUUUUUUGUGUUAAACUUAUUUUAUUUCUAUGCACUUUUCUUUAAGUGAGAAUGCCCAAUUUCCUGCAAAUUAAUUCCUCUUCUUCAGCCUGGUUCUCUCUCCCUGCCCUUUAAUUGAUUGUCCAUUCUGCCUUGGGUUCCAUGUAGAUAUUUUCACUUAAGCAAAGCUACCAUAAUUGAGGACUAAAAGUGGAACAUUCCUUUCCUGGUGGCAAUAAAGUUUUAAUUAUAAAUACCUCCUGGUUCACUUCUCAGGUUUCCCUGGCUGUCCUGCUGAAUGCUCUAACACAGCACAGCUGCUUUGCACAGGUACCAGGUGAGGCAGAAGCCUUUGAAGUGAAAAAAGACUCAAUAAAGAAGUGCAAAUCAAGGGCGUACUCAGGACUCCUGUAUCUUUGCUAUUUUCCUAGAGGCACACUAGCCUUUGAAAAUCAAACAAUUCAUCAUUUUACUUCUCCAGGCAGAGUUUUAAUAGUGUUAAUACAUUGGUGCUUCUGGUCGUGCCCCAAGCAAGUGGAUGAGGAAGCUGAGCUGUGACAAAGCCUGGCUGGUUAUCAGCCUCCAGGAAGACGUCACCAUUCCAGGGAAGAGACUUGUGGCCUCCUUGUUCCAGAUGUUGGGGUACCAAUGUUUAAAAUGGACCCAAAAAGCUUCCAAGGCAGGGUAAGAAGAAGCUGCAAGUUCCAGCUAAUGAAAUGACAACGGUUCCAGUCUGUAGGUCAAAUUCUGUAGGAGUCCUGACUGAGGGGAAGUGCAGGGGAAGAGCUGCAUUAGACUGUUUUCUUUGUAGCUAUUCCUGGUUUGUUGCUUUCUUUUGAGAAGUAAUUUUGCAAAAUUAGGACUUGGGCAUGGUACCUGUUUGACAGCUUCCCAUCUGCUGGCCCAAUUUAUAUCCACUGAAACUGCUACAAAAUUAAGUUUUUAUUGCCAGUCACAUUGCAGUUUAUAUAGCUGUGGAAAAAUGGGCUGAACUCAGGUCCUCCUUACACUUUAUCAACCAAAAAGUGUGUGCUGACACCAAUCCUUUACUGCUGCCAUCCAGGGCAACAGGCAAUUGACUGCCCUUCAGAUACACUGCCCAACACAGGUGGAUUAUUUGCUCUCUUCAAGGUCAAAGAAAGUGUAGAGCUGGCCAGGGGAAAAUGUGUCUAUGACAGGUAUUUUACAGUUCUUAUUCUAGAUUAUAUUUAGCUUCAGAUCUUGUGCUGGCCUAAACCACAAACUACAGUUACAUUUAGAGGAAGUCUACAUUUGUGGAUUGCAAGAAGAAUGAAAAGUAAAAGCAAAAACAGCAGAGCAGCAACAGGAGGUAAGAGAAAUGUAUGAUAUUGAAGGUGAGACUCUUAAAUGGCUCUCUAGACACACUAUUGUUAAGGAAGCUUCCCUGUCUGAGCAUCCAGGAGCAGUCUGUCACUCUUGCACCACCUGAGCUGGACCAAAGCCCCUUCACAGCUGCACCCCACACUCACACUGAGCUCCGACUCAGGUUUUCCAUGGCAGAGUCUCAGACAUUCAAAUUCUCAAAAUAAUUUAAUCUUGGUACAAUGACUCAAAUAACUAAAUAACUCCAGCUGGUUCCUUCAAGGAGGCAGCACCCCAGAAAAGGAACCCCUUGGCUUUUAUCCCCUCACAGUCUGAGCACAAAACUCUGGGGUCCUCUGCUCCUGCUGCAUCUCUGAGUGCCCGGUCCCCUGGCAGGGCCACAGGUCCCCAGGCCCCUCAUGACACAGAGGGUCAGCAGGUCACAGCCCCUGGCCCCAGGCUCCCCCAGAGCUCAAUCUGCAGCUCCCCUUGAACUACCUGCACUGAAAGGAUUCCCUAACACCCAUUCCCCUCCCACAGCCCCAGUCUUUCCUCCACACAGAGGAAACACUUCUUUCCCUAAAAACAAGACAAAAUGAGGAAGCCAGGAGGGCAGAAAAUUAGUAAUUUCAGUGUCAGGCAGGACUGUAACAUUUGGCAUCUGUCACGCUGUGCACAGAGGCAGUGGAACACAAACCUAAGAGCUCUGGCAGCAGAGACUCAGAGUAGGUCUCUGCACUAAGGGAACAGUAGGUUUGGUUGUAACACAGGGCCAUGUCCUGACAGCCUCAGCUCCACGUCCACUCUUGUCACAGGUGAGACAGCCUCAA